rnacentral:lncRNA from 12 species
GUAAACACCACAUCUGCCUUCUGGAUUUACCAUGGAUUAACCAUUGCUUCUGAAUUCUGCGUUCCCAGGUGUCUUCUGAUGUGCCAGGCACACAAAUGGCACCUACUGAAAUGUGUUGCUCAGGUAUGGUUUUGGUUUUCCCUGUGAAGCCAUAGGGACAGGAAUGUCUGAUGCCUAAAGCAAACUUAAAGGUGAGGUCUCUGACCAAGUGGGGUGAGGCUUUCUCUCUUUAUUUUUUUAUUUUCUUGACAGUUAUUUAUUAAAAACCAAAUCCUUUUUGGCUACUGAAAAGCCAGGCUCUUAAGACUUGCAGGCAAAUAGCAAAACCAUUUUUGUUCCAAAGGAUAUAGAAAGUGGAAUUCUUUUGAAUUGGCUGUGGAGAGUUGAUAUCCUUUCUGUGCUGUUACUGGGCACUGUCUUUGCACACAGGUGUCUUUCACUUUUAAGAUGAAAGAAUUGUUAAGAUAUGUAGUACUGGGGUUUGGCUGUUUGCUAUUUCAUUUCCUGGCACAGGGGUUAGAUAAUCCAUGUGUAGUUAAGACCAUUGAGAAUUUCAGGCAAGAACUAGUGUUUUACUAAGAAUUAAUUUUGUUGAGCACAGCUGUCAUUAGUGGCUUCUGCCCACUGUCUGACAAAUGCUGUAGCAUUUUCUUCAAAAGCUAAUAGUGUUUCCUUCCACGACCAAAAUAGCAGAUCAAGGAAGAUACCAAGUACCUCCUUAGUUUUAUUAUGUGCUAGGGUUUGUCAGUUGUUGUCUCUUGGUUGUUUUCUUUUUUUCUUAAUUGGAGUGAGAUUUCUCAUGAAUAAUGAAAUUAAUGUCUUUUGCAGCCAAAAUAAACACCAUAUGGUCAGGGAGAAAGGGACCAGGAAAAGAUGAGGAAGGCACAGCAGCAGCUGAAGCUGAUAGGAGACAAAAUGGACUGAAGGAAACAGAGAGGGGCCAGUAACCUCAGGGUGCUGUGCCACAGGCUGUACUAGCCCAGGUCAUGCUCUGUGGGACUCUCAGCUGUCCUUGCUUGGUGGAACAGGUGGGAUUGCAGAGGGCAUCAGAGCAGCUUCUGGAGGAUGACUUACCUUCACCCAAAUGCCUCUUCCACAGUGAUACCUGCAGAAUCCCAGGAAACCUCAGCAGAGAUGACAAGACACCCUGCUGGAAAUGAUUCCUGCACUUAAUAAGUAAAUGGGCUUUCCUGGGAGCAAAACAAAGAGCCUGAUGUGUUUCCUCACAGUGAGCAGCAG